GAUAAACCAGCAGGCUGAUAGAAUAGUGCAUUAAAAGGUUUAAAUAUGGAGUGCAGGGAUAAGUAAACAAAGCCAAAAUAGUUAUUAUCUAGGAGAUAUACUUUUAAACUGUAAGACAUGCUAGAAAAUGGUAGAUCCUAGAAACUAGUUUAACAAAAUAAUUAAGUAAAGGCAUGAUCUUGAGAUAUUGCUUGUCUCACAUACCCCAGGAUGCUCUAAGCACAAUGUGGUGGUUAUACUUUUUUUGGGAAGUAUAGACAUCAGAAGCAGGUUUAUUAAACACCACAAUGCCUAUGACUUUAAAUGUCUUUUUGUGCUUUAUAGUGAGUUUCGUAUGGUUGCACUUUCCAGUAGCCAAAUUUAUUACGUGGAGAGUGUACAGGGUAACUAAUCUGUCCAACAGACAAAGAGCCGAUUAAUGAUGAUUAACUCAGAAUUGGGGACAAGGUGACAGAGGAAAUAACUAACCCAUUACCGGCAAUUGCACCACUACACAAGCUUUGUCUCUGAAAUGCUGGGUCAUGUUCUAAAGAAUAAGACCAAAAUGCCAAAUUCAAAACCAAGUACUAAGCCCCUAACAUGUAGUGCUGUCACUCCCAAUCUAACAAGAGUCACAUUUCCAAGGGACAGCUUUCUCCCUUCCUUCAAAAUUUCAUCAGCAAUAACAUUAUAAAUGUCAUAUUUAUUUGAAUCCCUUACUAGUGCAAUACUUCUGUCUAGCCAAUUAGAUUUUUUUAAAUUAUCAGAUUAGCAUACCAGUUUUAAUGCUAAUGGUUAUUAUUAAAGAGCAUGUUUUAGGACUACAUCAACCUAUUAGAGCCCUGAA